UGGGGAAUAUUGCACAAUGGGGGAAACCCGUGAUGCAGCGACGCCGCGUGAAGGAAGAAGUAUCUCGGUAUGUAAACUUCUAUCAGCAGGGAAGAUAGUGACGGUACCUGACUAAGAAGCCCGGCUAACUACGUGCCAGCAGCCGCGUAAUCAUGCUGU
rnacentral:rRNA from 1 species